UACGAAGGGGGCUAGCGUUGUUCGGAAUUACUGGGCGUAAAGCGCACGUAGGCGGACUGAUCAGUCAGGGGUGAAAUCCCGGGGCUCAACCCCGGAACUGCCUUUGAUACUGUUGGUCUAGAGUUCGAGAGAGGUGAGUGGAAUUCCGAGUGUAGAGGUGAAAUUCGUAGAUAUUCGGAGGAACACCAGUGGCGAAGGCGGUUCACUGGCUCGAUACUGACGCUGAGGUGCGAAAGCGUGGGGAGCAAACAGG
rnacentral:rRNA from 1 species